GUUUUGGGGGGUUUUUUUUGGUUCUUUUUUGUUUUUCUUUUUUGUUGAGACAGAGUUUCACUCUUAUUGCCCAGGCUGGAGUGCAAUGCGUGAUCUCGCCUCACUGCAACCUCUGUCUCCCAGGUUCAAGUGAUUCUCCUGCCUCGGCCUCCUUUUUCUCUGCUCAGCAAAUUCCUUGAUUUGAAAUUACGAUCACAGGUUGGAGUGCUACUUAAAAUAAUUUUGCCAAAUGUUCCAUCUCUCUGUGUUGAUGAAUAUAAUGGAUGACAAUUUAAAGAGCAAAAAAAAAAUCUCUGCAUUUAAUGAGGAAGUGCUGUCAGCAGAAAGGAGAGGAAGCUUCACCCCGACCAUCCGCAGGACCCACAUCCCUCUCAGCGGGAAGGCAGAAUCAUUCAUCUAUUGCUCUCCUUGAAGGGCAGCUCCAGACACUCACGUGGACACAAGUAGGAAAAGCACAGAGUGUGUCAUCACACUGUGUACCUCAUACAGGUGACGUCCUGGAGAAACCUCUGGAAAAACAGAAAUUUUAUGACCCACAAUUAAAAUGAUUUAAGUAAUAAAUAACCCUGAUAGCUUGCCCCACCAAGUGUAUGCUAUGUUCCACACCCCAGGCCCCUCCACAUCCAUCUCCUUGCCGAGCCCUCUAACAACCUUACAAGGGAGAGACUUUUUACCCUCACUUCCCAGAGGAGGACACUGAGGCCAAAGAAGGGAAGGGAUUCCCCAGGUGACACCGUAAGUGACAGAGUCAAGACCCACAUGGCCUGGCUGAAGUCAAGGUCACCCUAAUUCCUCACACAGCCCCACCAGAGGUUCCCACAGUGCUGUGUGCCAGCCAGGUGAUAAGGCCUUUCCACAAAGGACAUCAAAAUACCUCAACAGGCUGGACGCGGUGGCUCACAUCUGUAAUCCCGACACUUUGGGAGGCCGAAGCAGGCGGAUCACCUGAGGUCAGGAGUUCAAGGCCAGCCUGGCCAACAUGGCAAAACCCCAUCUCUACUAAAAAUACAAAAAAUUAGCCAGGCAUGGUGGUGGAUGCCUGUAAUCCCAGCUACUCGGGAGGCUGAGGCAGGAGAAUCGCUUGAACCCGGGAGGCAGAGGUUGCAGUGAGCCAAGAUCGUGCCAUUACACUCCAGCCUGGGUGACAGAACGAGACUCCAUCUCAAAAAAAAAACAAAAAAAACCUCAUCAUCAGUAGAGAACUGUCACCUUCCUAAACGAGGAAACUGACACUUUUAAAAGCAAACAGAUUUCUGAACUUGGGGUUAAUGAUAAAACUGGAAAAACAUAAAAGACUCCCUGUUCCUCUCCUCCAUUAUCAAUAUGUGCCUUAGAUUUGGAUGCCAAGUCAAAUCUCACCAGAACUAUAUCCUCCAUGGUAACUUAUUAAAGAGUCAAUCAAAGUUUGCUUUAAGAGAAAAGUAAAUACACCCAACUUUCCAUACAAUGCCGGACCCCGAGUUCACUUCCUGGUUUCACUGUUGACUCAGGUUGCAAUCCUAGAUAAGUAACUACACAUGCUCACUGCCCUGGGCCCAAAGCUGGGGCGAGAGCCUGGAAUCAGCGCACCCCCAAGAAUUCCGGAACAUGGGAAGAUGCCCAUCUUUCAUGGAGGGGGCAUGCCUCGAAGAGGAAAAUCAGGCAAAAGGCCGUGUGCAAAGCUCCACGUGCAGGUGCAAGCUGCUUGUCCCUGAGUCUCUGAUUGCGAGGAAAGGGGUCACCCGCUGGUCGCACCACCAACAAAGCCCUGCCAUCCUUUGGCUCUGCGCUCACCCAUAAUUACUGGGCGUGAGGUGGGAAGGGCCGCCCUUUGGGACUCAGGUGGUGGGGAGGCUGCAGAACAGAGUCGGCAAGUCAACUCCAAUCACAGUAAGCAUUUUCAAAGAAACACAUAAAAAUAGCCAGAAGUGGGUCAGCACUUCCAGUGAGGUUAGAGACAG
rnacentral:lncRNA from 1 species